AGGCCGGUAGCUAAGAGGCUCAAGGCGUCCGCCUUUUAAGCGGAACAUCGUCGGUUCGAAUCCGACCCGGCCUA
rnacentral:tRNA from 1 species